AGUGAACGCUGGCGGUAGGCCUAACACAUGCAAGUCGAACGGCCGCACAGUAAGAGCUUGCUCUUACGGGUGGCGAGUGGCGGACGGGUGAGGAAUACAUCGGAAUCUACUUUUUCGUGGGGGAUAACGUAGGGAAACUUACGCUAAUACCGCAAACGACCUACGGGUGAAAGCAGGGGAUCUUCGGACCUUGCGCGAUUGAAUGAGCCGAUGUCGGAUUAGCUAGUUGGCGGGGUAAAGGCCCACCAAGGCGACGAUCCGUAGCUGGUCUGAGAGGAUGAUCAGCCACACUGGAACUGAGACACGGUCCAGACUCCUACGGGAGGCAGCAGUGGGGAAUAUUGGACAAUGGGCGCAAGCCUGAUCCAGCCAUACCGCGUGGGUGAAGAAGGCCUUCGGGUUGUAAAGCCCUUUUGUUGGGAAAGAAAAGCAGCAGGUUAAUACCCCGCUGUUCUGACGGUACCCAAAGAAUAAGCACCGGCUAACUUCGUG
rnacentral:rRNA from 1 species